rnacentral:rRNA from 1 species
UACGUAGGGUGCGAGCGUUGUCCGGAAUUAUUGGGCGUAAAGCGUGCGCAGGCGGUUUUGUAAGCCAGAUGUGAAAUCCCCGGGCUUAACCUGGGAAUGGCAUUUGGGACUGCAAGGCUCGAGUGCGGCAGAGGAGACUGGAAUUCCUGGUGUAGCAGUGAAAUGCGUAGAUAUCAGGAGGAACACCGAUGGCGAAGGCAGGUCUCUGGGCUGACACUGACGCUCAUGCACGAAAGCGUGGGGAGCAAACAGGAUUA